rnacentral:lncRNA from 1 species
GUUCUUGUUUAUAUGACCUAGCCUUCAAUGCCAUAAGUAGAUAUCUGACAUACUAUCUAAUCUAGGGUGCUUGCCAGUAGAAUUGACUCUUAUCAGGCUUGAUCUUUUUGGUCUGACCCUGCACAGAUGUCCCAGCCUGAACUUGCACCUUCUUGACUUUCUUCUUCUUGUUCUUCUUCCCUUUCUUAAAAGGUCGAGAACCAGAAGAUGAACCUCCCACUAAGUUCACCGACUCCUUGUGAAGUUGGUGAUCCUUCUCAAAGUUCUGAAGCAACCUCAGUAACCCAUGGUAGUUCUCUUCAGGCUUUGUCAUUCUAUAAUGAGUGAGGAAUGGGAGAUAAGACUUGGGCAGCAAGUUCAGUAUUGCAUCUUUCCCAAGCUGCUCAUGCAAGGAAAAUCCGAGCUUGCUCAAUCAUUCCAUCAGCUCGAUCAUGUACAAUACAUGAUCAGUGACAGAGGCAUCAUUCCGUAUUUUGGCAUUGAAGAUGGUACAACUAGUCUUGUGCCUCUCUACGUCAUCGGGUGUGCCAAAGGCAUCCUCUAAUACUUGAAGCAUGUCCUUUGGCUGAGCCGUCUCGAAUUUACGACUGAACUCGUCGCUCAUGGCAGCCAGCAUGAUACAGCGCACCAUGGUCCGGUGAUUGAGCCACUUCUGGUAAGUGUCUCUGACUGUUCCACGUGCAUUGACAGCUGGCUCCUCAGGUGCAGGAUCCAUUAUCACAUAUAGGAUCCGUUCAUGCUCCAGGACUAUCUUCAACUUUUGGUACCAGCUAUCGAAGUUGGGUCCCACCAACUUAUCAUUGUCCAAC